UUUGUUUGAUAUUAAAUUUGUAACGAUUAAUAUUGAAAUUAGUAAAUAGGUGAGAGAUUUUUGGCCAAAAAUCUUACCAAAAAUGUAUAUGUAGAUAUGUUAUACAACUGGUAUUACAUAAUGUAGGUAUUUUUUUCAUAUUUCGAUAAGUACAAACUAAACUAAUGUAUGUGUAUGUUGUGUACAUUUUUCCUAAACUAUUGGUUUUUCAUAUGGGGAUGCUAACACCAUGCAAGCUGAUUGCCAAUGUUGAUGACUCUAGUAUUAGUGUGAGUAGGGAUGUUAAAUACGGUUUCUGAUCUAGUCCGGUCCUGUUUAUUUAAAGUCCAACACUAAAUGAGCCAUAACCCUUUUUAAGUAU
rnacentral:sRNA from 1 species